rnacentral:rRNA from 1 species
GAUGAACGCUAGCUACAGGCUUAACACAUGCAAGUCGAGGGGCAGCAUGCUGAUAGCUUGCUAUCAGUGAUGGCGACCGGCGCACGGGUGAGUAACGCGUAUCCAACCUGCCUGUCACUCAGGAAUAGCCCGGUGAAAACCGGAUUAAGUCCUGAUGAUAUCAUUAGAGGGCAUCUGACGAUGAUUAAAGGUUACGGUGACAGAUGGGGAUGCGUCUGAUUAGCUUGUUGGCGGGGUAACGGCCCACCAAGGCAACGAUCAGUAGGGGUUCUGAGAGGAAGGUCCCCCACAUUGGAACUGAGACACGGUCCAAACUCCUACGGGAGGCAGCAGUGGGGGAUAUUGGACAAUGGGGGGCAACCCUGAUCCAGCGACGCCGCGUGAGGGAAGAAGGUUUUCGGAUUGUAAACCUCUGUCGACAGGGGAAAAUGAUGAUGGUACCUGUGGAGGAAGCCACGGCUAACUACGUG